AUUGAACGCUGGCGGCAUGCUUUACACAUGCAAGUCGAACGGUAACAGGCCGCAAGGUGCUGACGAGUGGCGCACGGGUGAGUAAUGCAUCGGAACGUGCCCAGUCGUGGGGGAUAACUACUCGAAAGAGUAGCUAAUACCGCAUACGAUCUAUGGAUGAAAGCGGGGGACCGUAAGGCCUCGCGCGAUUGGAGCGGCCGAUGUCAGAUUAGGUAGUUGGUGGGGUAAAGGCUCACCAAGCCAACGAUCUGUAGCUGGUCUGAGAGGACGACCAGCCACACUGGGACUGAGACACGGCCCAGACUCCUACGGGAGGCAGCAGUGGGGAAUUCUGGACAAUGGGCGCAAGCCUGAUCCAGCAAUGCCGCGUGCAGGAAGAAGGCCUUCGGGUUGUAAACUGCUUUUGUACGGAACGAAACGGCUCUGGUUAAUACCCGGGGCUAAUGACGGUACCGUAAGAAUAAGCACCGGCUAACUACGUG
rnacentral:rRNA from 1 species